GACGAACGCUGGCGGCGUGCCUAAUACAUGCCAGUCGAACGCAGUGGGGACGGGUGAGUAACACGUGGGUAACCUCCCAUCAGAGGGGAUAACACUUGGAAACAGGUGCUAAACCGAUACUGAUGGAUGGACCCGCGGUGCAUUAGCUAGUUGGUGAGGUAACGGCUCGCCAAGGCCACGAUCCGUAGCUGGUUGGAGACGACUACCAGCCAACCUGGGACUGAGACACGGCCCAGACUCCUACGGGAGGCAGCAGUGGGGAAUUUUGGACAAUGGGGGAAACCCUGAUCCAGCCAUCCCGCGUGUAUGAUGAAGGCCUUCGGGUUGUAAAGUACUUUUGGCAGAGAAGCGGUAUCCGCAGAAUAAGCACCGGCUAACUACGUGCCAGCCGCCGCGGUAAUAC
rnacentral:rRNA from 1 species